rnacentral:rRNA from 1 species
AUUGAACGCUGGCGGCAGGCCUAACACAUGCAAGUCGAGCGAGCGGCGGACGGGUGAGUAAUGUCUGGGGAUCUGCCCGAUAGAGGGGGAUAACUACUGGAAACGGUGGCUAAUACCGCAUACUAUCGGAUGUACCCAUAUGGGAUUAGCUAGUAGGUGGGGUAACGGCUCACCUAGGCGACGAUCUCUAGCUGGUCUGAGAGGAUGAUCAGCCACACUGGGACUGAGACACGGCCCAGACGCCUACGUGAGGCAGCAGUGGGGAAGAUUGCACAAUGGGAGCAAGCCUGAUGCAGCCAUGCCGCGUGUAUGAAGAAGGCCUUAGGGUUGUAAAGUACUUUCAGCGGGGAGGCGUUACCCGCAGAAGAAGCACCGGCUAACUCCGUGCCAGCAGCCGCGGUAAUUC